GCGCGUCUAGCUCAGCGGGUAGAGCACCGGACUUUUAAUCCGGCGGUCGGGGUUCGAGUCCCCGGGCGCGCA
rnacentral:tRNA from 1 species